rnacentral:rRNA from 1 species
AGCAGCAGCCGCGGUAAUACGGAGGGUGCAAGCGUUAAUCGGAUUUACUGGGCGUAAAGCGUGCGUAGGCGGCUUCUUAAGUCGGAUGUGAAAUCCCUGAGCUUAACUUAGGAAUUGCAUUCGAUACUGGGAAGCUAGAGUAUGGGAGAGGAUGGUAGAAUUCCAGGUGUAGCGGUGAAAUGCGUAGAGAUCUGGAGGAAUACCGAUGGCGAAGGCAGCCAUCUGGCCUAAUACUGACGCUGAGGUACGAAAGCAUGGGGAGCAAACAGGAUUAGAUACCCCCGUAGUCCCUGUCUCUUAUAC